rnacentral:rRNA from 1 species
AACGAACGCUGGCGGCAUGCCUAACACAUGCAAGUCGAACGAGACCUUCGGGUCUAGUGGCGCACGGGUGCGUAACGCGGGGGAAUCUGCCCUUGGGUUCGGGAUAACAGUUGGAAACGACUGCUAAUACCGGAUGAUGACUUCGGUCCAAAGAUUUAUCGCCCAGGGAUGAGCCCGCGUCGGAUUAGCUUGUUGGUGAGGUAAGAGCUCACCAAGGCGACGAUCCGUAGCUGGUCUGAGAGGAUGAUCAGCCACACUGGGACUGAGACACGGCCCAGACUCCUACGGGAGGCAGCAGUGGGGAAUAUUGGACAAUGGGCGAAGGCCUGAUCCAGCAAUGCCGCGUGAGUGAUGAAGGCCUUAGGGUUGUAAAGCUCUUUUACCCGGGAUGAUAAUGACAGUACCGGGAGAAUAAGCCCCGGCUAACUCCGUG